rnacentral:rRNA from 1 species
GAUGAACGCUGGCGGCGUGCCUAAUACAUGCAAGUCGAGCGAAUGGAUUAAGAGCUUGCUCUUAUGAAGUUCGCGGCGGACGGGUGAGUAACACGUGGGUAACCUGCUCAUAAGACUGGUAUAACUCCGGGAAACCGGGGCUAAUACCGGAUAACAUUUUGAACCGCAUGGUUCGAAACUGAAAGGAGGCUUAGCUUGGCACGUAUGGAUGUACCCGCGUCGCAUUAGCCAGUUGGUGAUGGAACGGCUCACCAAGGCAACGAUGCGUAGCCGACCUGAGAGGGGGAUCGGCCACACUGGGACUGAGACACGGCCCAGACUCCUGCGGGAGGCAGCAGUAGGGAAUCUUCCGCAAUGGACGAAAGUCUGACGGAGCAACGCCGCGUGAGUGAUGAAGGCUUUCGGGUCGUAAAACUCUGUUGUUAGGGAAGAACAAGUGCUAGUUGAAUAAGCUGGCACCUUGACGGUACCUAACCAGAAAGCCACGGCUAACUACGUGCCAGCCGCCGCGGUAA